AAGACACAUUGGUUUUUCGCACUCUAACUUUAGUUUAAGUGAAUGGAUCUCUAUGAAACUUUACCAUAAGGUUCAAUACCACAAAAGGAAGGUUGGGAUUGAUUUUGGGGGUUAUGGUACCAACAGUUAAGGAAUUAGGGGCCAAAAAGGGGCCAAAAUAAGCAUUUUUGUAACUUCCAGACAUAACUUGUGUGUUAGUGUAUGGAUCUCUCUGACAUUGUACCACAAGGUUCCAUAUCACAAAGGGAAUGCUGGGAUUGAUUUUGGGGGUAAUUGCCUCAAAAUUUUAGGAAUUAGGGGACAAAAAAGGGACAAAAAACAAGCAUUUUUCUAGUUUCAUGAUAAUAACUUGUGUGUAAGCAUAUGGAUCUUUCUGAAAUUGUACUACAAGGUUCCAUAUCACAAAUGGAAAGCUGGGUUUGAGUUUGGGGGUAAUUGCCCUAAACGUUUAGGAAUUUGGGGCCAAAAAACAAGCAUUUUUCUAGUUUCCAGACAAUUACUUUUGUUCAAGUGUAUGGAUCUCUCUGAAAUUGUACUGCAAGGUACCAUACCACAAAAGGAAGGCUGGGAUUGAGUUUGGGGGUGAUGAAUCAUAAGGGGGUUCACAAAAAUUUGGGGGAGGGAUUUUUUUUUUCUUUAAAAUUUUCCAUUUUAAAUUUGUUAUUUCUGAUUUAUAUAUAAAAGCAAAUAAUAAUGAUAUGGUUUGAAUAGGUAAAUUAAAAUUUUUUAAGUUCUUAGACCACAUUCAUUCUGUGUCAGAAACCUAUGCUGUGUCAAAUAUUUAAUCACAAUCCAAAUUCAGUGCUGUAUCAAGCUUUAAUGUUGUGUCCAUACUUGCCC